CGGAUCCUGAUGUGUUCGUCCUAAUAUUGACGUUUUGACCGAACAUCAAUAUUUUCGGGAGCUUCUCGUUUCUAUAUGGCAUGCAUGCCUCGUUUAGUUGAGGACGCAUAAAAUAUAGAACUAAGCACCCACCUGCUAAGAGCGGGAUCAAAACUCAUGAAAAAUAGACGGCACAAUUGGGAUUCGA
rnacentral:other from 1 species